rnacentral:rRNA from 1 species
UACGGAGGGGGACUAGCGUUGUUCGGAAUUACUGGGCGUAAAGCGCACGUAGGCGGAUUUGUAAGUCAGGGGUGAAAUCCCGGGGCUCAACCUCGGAACUGCCUUUGAUACUGCAAAUCUCGAGUCCGGAAGAGGUGAGUGGAAUUCCUAGUGUAGAGGUGAAAUUCGUAGAUAUUAGGAAGAACACCAGUGGCGAAGGCGGCUCACUGGUCCGGUACUGACGCUGAGGUGCGAAAGCGUGGGGGAGCAAACAGG